CUCUCUCUCUCGUGGUAGAGAGAUGGCUUCCGUUGCGGAAACGAAGCUCGAUUGCGGCUGUAUAUCCCACGCGUUCUUCAAGGCCGCGAGAAGGGACCCCGACAAAGUCGCCGUCGUACACGGCGCCGGCGGCGCCAGGAUCGCCAGAGAGUUUCGCAGCAACAACCGCACCGCUCCGCCGUCCGCCAUCGAUUACGACAAGUUCUUUGCCGACCUUCUCUCGACGGCGCAGAGUUCUUGUCCGCCGCUGUACGAAGGCGACCGCUGUUUCACUUUCUCAGAAAUCCUCGUCGCUGUCGACUCCCUCAGCUCCCGACUCCGCCGCGUCCUCGACGGCGGAGAUGAUCCCUGUCUUGUCCGAGCCACCGGCACCACUGGUAGUUUUCCUACUGAGCCGCCAGUGUGUGGCUGCAUUUCUGAACAUUCCACAGUGUCAAGUCCAGUUGCAGAGCAGUUUACUGAAGAUCAGCAUUCAACUACUCUGAAAAUAUUGGGAAUAUAUAUGGAACCUUCUGUGGAGUACAUAAUUGCUGUCCUCUCUGUUUUGAGGUGUGGGGAAGCUUUUAUGCCUUUGGAUCCUUUAUGGCCCAAAGAAAGAAUAUUGUCCGUUAUUUCUUCUUCAAAUGUUGAUCUUAUCAUUAGGUGCCUAUCUACCUUUGAUGGAAGAGGUUAUCUUGAGCCUGAUAAAUCACAUGGGCUUGUAAAUAGUGGCAGUUGCCCUGAAUUAUUUAUAUCCAUUAAAGAAAUCCUUCAGCAGCAAUUUGUGCCAUCAAAUUUAGCUUGGCCUUGUGAAAAUGAAAAUUCAAGGUCAUUUUGUUACUUAAUGUACACAUCUGGAUCAACUGGGAAGCCUAAAGGUGUUUGCGGGACUGAAACAGGUCUAAUGAACCGUUUUUUGUGGAUGCAAAAGCUGUAUCCCAUGGUUGGUGAAGAGUUAUUGCUUUUCAAAACAUCAAUAAGCUUUAUUGAUCACCUUCAAGAAUUCCUUGGAGCUCUUCUCAGUACUUCUACAUUGGUCAUUCCACCUUUCUUUGAGCUCAAAGAAAACCUGUUCUAUAUGUAUGAUUUUCUCCAGGCUUACUCUAUCAGUAGACUUAUUGCUGUUCCAUCUAUGAUGAGGACCAUUCUUCCGGCUUUACAAAGCCCUUAUAAUAUUAGAGUUCAGAGUUCCUUGAAGAUGCUGGUGCUGAGUGGUGAAAUCUUCCCUCUUUCCUUAUGGAAAUUGCUUUACAAACUAUUACCAAAAACUACCAUGUUGAAUUUAUAUGGAUCCACUGAGGUUUCUGGUGACUGUUCGUAUUUUGAUUGCAAGAGGUUGCCAUCAAUUUUGGAGAGUGAAGAACUGAGCAGCAUUCCCAUUGGCAUGCCCAUUUCAAAUUGUGAUUUGGUUCUUGUUGGUGAAGAUUCAUCCAUUCAAGGAGAAAUAUAUGUUGGUGGACUCUGCCUUGCCACUGGAUACUAUUGCCAUAGUUCUGCUGUACACCAGGACUUUGUGAAGUUGCCUCGAGACUCUUCUUUUGGCUUUUUCCAAAGAUACUAUAAAACUGGUGAUUUUGCCAGGCGUCUUCAAAGUGGUGACUUAGUUGUCCAGGGUAGAAAAGACCGCACUGUAAAGGUUAACGGACAGCGUGUUGCAUUAGAGGAAAUUGAAAGUACAUUAAGGGUAUACCCAGAUGUAGCUGAUGCUGCGGUGAUUUCUUGUAGUGGCCAAGGAACACUACUUGUGGCAUUUUUAGCAAUGAGAGAGAAGAGUGCAUGCAAUGAAAUCUUGAGAUCUUCCAUCAGAAGUUGGUUGCUUGACAAACUUCCUUUAGCAAUGAUUCCUAACAGUUUCUUCUUUACCAAAUCACUUCCCAUGUCUUCAACUGGAAAAGUGGAUUAUGCUUUCUUGGCUAGUGUGAUGUUUUCCAUGAAAUACAAGCAAAAUGAGAUUGGUGAAACUCCGAGCACUGAACUCUUGCAUGUUAUAAAGAAGGCGUUUUGCGAUGCUUUGAUGGUUGAAAUGGUGUCAGAUGAUGAUGAUUUCUUUGUCUUGGGUGGUAAUUCUAUCUCUGCAGCACACAUUUCUCAUAAUUUAGGGAUUGAUAUGAGGUUGGUUUACAUCUUUCCAAGUCCAUUGAAACUUCAAAUGGCACUUCUAGAAAAAGAAGGUUUGUCCAGUGAUGUAAGUAAAGAUACUAAUCAGGCUCAUGGGAAAACCAUGCCUCUUUCCUUCGACUCUAAGAUGCCUAAUCUUUACACCUUUAAGUCACAUGGUAGGUUCUUGAGCAGCAAGAACAGUCGCAAUCCUGAUAAAUGCCAGAAGAUGGAUUCAAAUUUGCACUGGAAUUCUAAUGGGACUAGUCUUGGGGAUGUUUAUCCAUGGAAUUCCAACUCAGUUCCUGUUUCAUGUUCAUUUAGCAGGUGCAACAAAGUAUUGUGUGAAGGAGAACACAUGAGUAAUAUUGUAGGUCAACCAAGCUUGGUGGAAAUUCAAAGAAAUAAAGGAGGUGCAAUGCGAGAAUUAUGGAAAGUUCACUUGGAAUCCUGUGUUGAUGCAUCCCCACUUGUUGUAUUUAAAGCUGGGGAGGUUUUUCUUUUCAUUGGAUCUCACUCAUGCAAAUUUACUUGUGUCAAUGCCAAAAGUGGUCUUGUCCAAUGGGAGAUGAGACUACAAGGACGGAUUGAAUGUUCAGCAGCAAUUCUUGAGGAUUUUUCUCAGGUUGUCAUCGGAUGUUACCAAGGAAACAUUUACUUUCUUGAUUUUUCCAAUGGCAACAUCUGUUGGAAAUUCCAAACACAUGGUGAGGUAAAGUCGCAGCCUGUGGUGGAUGGUCGCCGGCACUUGGUCUGGUGUGGGUCACAUGACCAUAACCUCUAUGCUCUUGAUUAUAGAAAUUACUGCUGUGCUUUUAAGCUUCUAUGUGGUGGCAGUAUCUACGGUUCACCUGUAAUUGAUGAGAUUCGGACUACACUUUAUGUGGCAUCUACUCGUGGCUGUGUUACAGCAGUAAGCAUAAAGGCUAUGCCAUUUAGUAAACUUUGGCUGCAUGAGUUGGAAGUGCCAGUUUUUGGGUCUCUCUCCAUCAACUCUCAAAAUGGAAAUGUAAUUUGUUGCUUAGUGGAUGGUCAUGUUGUGGCACUGGAUUCAGGUGGAUCUGUUAUUUGGAAGGUGAAAACUGGUGGGCCAAUAUUUGCUGGACCCUGUUUAUCUAGUGCACUAUCUUCUCAGGUUCUCAUAUGUUCCAGAAAUGGGAGUAUCUAUUCAUUUGAAUUGGAAAAGGGUGGUCUGCUCUGGGAAUAUAAUCUUGGAGACCCAAUUACUUCAUCUGCUUAUGUUGAUGAACACUUGCAGUUGGUAUCUAGCCCCUCACUUCUUUAUGAUAGGUUAAUCUGUGUCUGCACUAGUUCUGGAAUUAUCUAUUUGCUUCGAAUACCUUCAGAUUCUGCUGGAGAGUCUAGCAAAAUUGGUAAAGAAGUGGUACAGGAGUUUGCUAGGUUGGACCUCCAAGGAGACAUUUUUUCUUCUCCUGUGAUGAUUGGAGGCCGGGUUUUUAUUGGUUGCAGGGAUGACUACAUCCACUGCCUCAGGCUUGAGAUCUGAACCUCAGUGGACGUUGUUUCUAUAACUGGAACCUAUGACCUUUCAGUCAUAGAGGAGCAACUUUACCAUUACUACCAAGGCUUUGACAUCAGUCCUAAAGACAACAUUGGGAGAAAUGUUGAAUGGAAGAUUCUGGAUGGAAAUGCCUGCACCAACAUUACAUUAAAUUCUAAGGACUCUGAAGCAUGUUGCUCUUGCAGUGAUCCUGAUUUACUUUCAAUCACGUUUAACUUCUUCAUUAAAUCAUGCAGCCUUCCAUUCCAGAUAAGAACUACACUUAGUGCAAGCUGUGUCACCCUCUCAUGGGCCACCUGAUUCUACUCGUGGCUGUUUUAUGUGUUGAACUUCUGGGAAUUGGAUGAACAGCCUCAAAUUCAAUUCUGCAGAUUGCCGAUAAGGUAUCCACUUGGCUUGUUUGGAUUAUUUCCCAAUUGACAUGGAAGUUAUUUGAACAGUAUCUCAAUCAAAGGAGCAGCCUGAAAAUGUCAUUGACCUGUUCUGCUGCAAACUAUGUGAUGAUUUCUGUUAGCUCUGUCAUGUUGUUCGCUUCAUCUGGUUUCUAUUUUGACCUCCAUCUUGAGUAUUAGCCCCACCUAGCUACCAACAUGAUAAUGAUAUCAUGUAUAUGUUUUCCAUGAAAAUCUGAAGAUUAAUUGUGCAUUAUGAUUAUCAAAUAUCGACAUAGGUAUUCCCAACAGACCGCUUAUCCUGUUGCACCUUCCAUAUCAGAGGUUAAUUGUGCAGUAUGAUAAUCAAAUAUCGUAGCAGUAUCCUGGGAUAUGCUGCUGCAAGAUAACAGGUAAACCUUCAGUUAUAUGUUAUUCCUUGGAGCAUGUAUCUCACUGAUUGGAGUCCCUUUAUCCAUUGUAUUGGUGAUGGUGUUCUAUGUUGUAUAAUUUGACCAAUCUUCCGCCGAUCCUUGUUCAUCACCAAUAUGAGGUUGUGGAUACAGUUGCAACAAUGACACACCUAUUCAUCUCCAUCUCAACACGUAACUCUGGGUUUUUCCGGUUGCUAACCUUGUGUAUCUAAGUAAGUCUUUAUACUCUCUCCUUCCAGAACUGAGUACAUGUCUCCGAGUGUUAGCCCCCCAAACACUCAUGGCAUGUUCUCAGCCUGACUGAUGGGACGAACAGCCCUAGCUUUCUGAAUCCUACACAUCCUUUGCAUGAAAAUUGGAUUUUUGCACUAGAGUGCUUCCAUUUGCCUGCUGACUGCUAGGACUCUCAAGGCCGCCCCAUGGGAUGCUAAGGGCAAACCCUCCAUCAAUGUCCUGUCCACAAUACGCUCAGCUGCAAUCUAUAUUUUUAGUUCUGCACUCAACAUGGGAAAGCGAAAUGCAAGCCGAGGAUGGCCCAAAAAUUUUCUGAGAAUAGAAGUACAGUCUGAUAGCAAGAUAGAAGUCUUGAGGAGUGGCACCAGAGUUAUGAAUUUUCCGUUUGUCUAUCCCAGUUUGUUCAAUGCAUUGCUAAGCCAGG